rnacentral:rRNA from 1 species
AUUGAACGCUGGCGGCAGGCCUAACACAUGCAAGUCGAGCGAGUGGCGGACGGGUGAGUAAUGUAUGGGAAUCUGCCUGAUAGAGGGGGAUAACUACUGGAAACGGUAGCUAAUACCGCAUACUAUCGGAUGUACCCAUAUGGGAUUAGCUAGUAGGUGGGGUAAAGGCUCACCUAGGCGACGAUCCCUAGCUGGUCUGAGAGGAUGAUCAGCCACACUGGAACUGAGACACGGCCCAGACUCCUACGGGAGGCAGCAGUGGGGAAUAUUGCACAAUGGGCGCAAGCCUGAUGCAGCCAUGCCGCGUGUGUGAAGAAGGCCUUAGGGUUGUAAAGCACUGUCAGCGGGGAGGCGUUACCCGCAGAAGAAGCACCGGCUAACUCCGUGCCAGCAGCCGCGGUAAUUC